rnacentral:rRNA from 1 species
AGUGAACGCUGGCGGUAGGCCUAACACAUACAAGUCGAACGGCAGCACAGUAAGAGCUUGCUCUUACGGGUGGCGAGUGGCGGACGGGUGAGGAAUACAUCGGAAUCUACUUUUUCGUGGGGGAUAACGUAGGGAAACUUACGCUAAUACCGCAUACGACCUACGGGUGAAAGCAGGGGAUCUUCGGACCUUGCGCGAUUGAAUGAGCCGAUGUCGGAUUAGCUAGUCGGCGGGGUAAAGGCCCACCAAGGCGACGAUCCGUAGCUGGUCUGAGAGGAUGAUCAGCCACACUGGAACUGAGACACGGUCCAGACUCCUACGGGAGGCAGCAGUGGGGAAUAUUGGACAAUGGGCGCAAGCCUGAUCCAGCCAUACCGCGUGGGUGAAGAAGGCCUUCGGGUUGUAAAGCCCUUUUGUUGGGAAAGAAAAGCAGCAGGUUAAUACCCCGCUGUUCUGACGGUACCCAAAGAAUAAGCACCGGCUAACUUCGUG